AGACGACGAACUCAAUUCUCCUGAAUUCGACCCCUAAUAAACUUCUAUUUGGUGAAACAGGAGACAAUUGAUUACAAUUCGAUUCUUAAUUUGUCAUCGAAUCCGUUAGGUCUGGUCAUGUCGAAAUAGACGAUUGGUGUGUGGUGAGAUUGUUAACAUCGAUGUUACUGAUUUGUUAUUUGGAGGUUCAUAACAGUAGAGAGAUUUGUGCACUGAAAGCCUCAGCUUGCUUUUGUUUUUGCAGAUCUAUUGGUUGAUCCACAACAUGUAUUAAUGGUCUCUGUUUUUUAGAGCAAUUGGCUAUGAAAUUAAAGAAAAUAUUCGUUCGGCAACAGUGUCAUGAGUUCUUUGGGUGAAUCCUCGUAUGGAUGAAACCCACGGUGGUCGUUGGCGACGGUGGAACUCCGGCGAUUGGAUUUGGAAAAUGAUUGUUUGAUGGAAUCCCAUUCUUUUU